rnacentral:lncRNA from 1 species
UUUUUUUUUUUUUUUUUGCCUCUUAGAGUGAAAUUUUCAUUCUACAGUGAUUUGGAAAGAGGGCCUCAGGGCCCCAUUAUUCUCUGUCUGUUGCUUUCAGGGCAGAGCUUUCAUGCUGCAAAUUGGGGCUAGAAGAGAUCCCAGACAUCUCAGCUGCUCUUGCCUAGAAUAAAGCCUCUGCCUGGGAUGAUAGAAAAUGGCAGUGUCCUGCCCCUCCUGGGGAGGUUCUCUAGCCCUGAACUGAAAAUAAGGGGAAGAGGAAGCUUAUGUUUUUGGCCUCACAAACCUAAAACAGAGCUUCCCUUAUGCCAAACUAUGGAGCCAGGAGGAAGGGAGCAGGUCUUGGCUCAAAUACUGUAGACUGUCUAGUUUUACACAGAUUUAGUAGAUAAUAAAUAAUUACUUAUUUUUUUCACUUGGUAUAUAUGCUUUUAAGAAAAUUUUCAGAGAUUUUAAUGUUUUAAUAUUUUUAUCAGUUAUGCUUGUUUUUCUGGAGUGAGAGUCCACUGAAUUCCUCACAUGACUCUACCGAUAGUUUACAUUGUAUUGCCGUAAUUAGAUCGGCAUAUAAAAUUUCGUAACUUGUUUUAUCAUAUGUAUCUAUUUUUGCUGUUCAGAAAUACUAAGACUAUUGUUGUUUCCUUCUAAAAUAUCUAUUUAUAAAAUGACAAAUUAUACUCUUAAAUGUAACAUUUGUCUAGGAAAAAAAGUGGGAAAUGGCUUUUGAUACUGAUUUUAAUUAUAUUUUGGGUCUCAAAAAUGUUUUUAAAUGUCAGAGAAUUUUUUUUUUUCUUUUUAGGGUCACACCUGCAGCAUAUGGCAAUUCCUAGGUUAGGGAUUGAAUCAGAGCUGCUGCUGCUGGUCUACACCACAGCCACAGCGAUGUGGGAUCUGAGCCAUAUUUGCAACCUAUACCACAGCUCAUGGAAAUGCCAGGUGGGAUCCUUAACCCACAAAGCAAGGCCAGGGAUCAAACCCACAUCUUCAUGCAUACUAAUCAGGCUCAUAACCCACUGAGCCACAACAGGGACUUUGAAAAUACUUUUUAAGUUUUCAAACAAAAUAUAGUAAAUAUAUUACAUUUUAGUCAAAAAUAAAUAGGUCCUAAAGAAAUUAUUUUUUACCCAUUAAAUCUGUAAUCUUUUUUAUGAAAGUGAUUUUAAAAUAAAAUUAUAGGAGUUCCCUGGUGAUUCAAUGGGUUAAGGAUUCGGAGAUGUCACUGGUCACUACUGUGGUGGAGGGUCAAUCCCUGGCCAAGAAAUUUAUGUAUGCUGUGGGCAUGGGCAAAAAAUUUAAAUUAAAUAACACUUGAAAAUUCUCUUUUAAAUAAAACUUACAUAACUAUAUUAUAUUUUUCUUCAUUAACAUUUGAUCUCUCAUUUUAAUCUAAUUUCUACCUUAACAUAUAUUUAUAUUUGUAUACAUACAUAUAUGUGUGUGUAUGUUUGAAUCUUAGUAUGUAAUACACACAUACAGACACACACAUAUAUAUGGUAUAAUGAAUACAAUAUAUAGUUUUCCUUGUUGAAAAAAAAAGUACAAUAGAAUUGGUGAAGAGAUAGAGGAGCUUUAUCAGAAUUCAUGACAUUUAUCUGUACAGUUGGGUAAUAUGAAAAGUUUUAUUAUGUUUCUUGUAGACUUGAAGAAAUCCAUUAGAACUAGGAAAAAUGAAGCUACUACUGUAUUAAAAACAAAAGUUUGGUGCUCUGACAUAAAGUAUAAUGUGAAUUUGUAACUUACUACUUUUGUUAUGUCCUCAAAGUAAUAUGAAAAUUAGUAUGUUAAAUCCCUCAAUUUGUGGAAGUUCAUGGUUUUGUUCCACUUGAAUUUAUAUUUUUUAACAUAUUAGUGCAUUUGUAGUAAAAUAAUGCUUUUAUUUUUUUCUUUUUCUACUGCACCCACAGCAUAUGGAAUUUCCUAAGCCAGGCCAGGGAUCAGAUCUGAGCCACAGCAACAAAGUGGUAUCCUUAACCCACUACACUGAGCAGGGGAUUGAACCCAUGCUGCCAAAGACAAUGCCAGAUUCUGAACUGCUAUGCCACAGAAACUCUAGGAAUGCAUGGUUUUCAAAUAAGCUAUGACACUUUUAACAACAGGUCUCUAUAAGCUCAGUAUUUUUACAUAUUGGUCAUACUUUAAAAGAUUACCACACUCUAAAACCUUUAUGAGCUAUAGGCACUAUGUCCCUCACAAUAGAAAAGUCUCUCUUCCAUGUCAGGUAUAUAUUUUAUCAACAUGCAGAAGAAUAACACAGGGAAUUGUUAUUCUUUAUCUCCACCAGUGCAGUUAUUUAGUAACAGUAUCAAAUUAGCUGGGUCAAGUCUGAGAAAUAACCAUUUUGCUUAUGACUGAACCAGACAUUGUUGCACUUUAAAUUUAAGUAAAUGUUUUUUUCCCAGAAAUUCCUCAAGGCAGGUGUCUGUAAUGACAGGAUACAACAAUUCAUCAAAUUGGAGCAAAGCAAAUGUGACAAAGUAGACUAUUACCAGUAUAGUGUAAUGACUGCUCUUCUGAAGAGUCAUGAGGGCCAUAACCAUGGGAUCUGCUGAUAGAUCCUAUACUAGGACCUGCUUUUCUGCCUCUGAAUCUCCUUCCUACUCUGAACAAUUUCUAGAGACUCAGGACUUUUUCUUCUAACUUCUUGCUGAGUCCUCCUGUAGUUUGUUCAAUGAUUUGUCCUUGACUACAGUUUCAGACUCUUCAGAAACUCAACCUUUCUUCCCAGAUUAUCACAAUUAGUGCCCAUUAUACUCUUUACCCCACUCCCAAAAUUGUCGAAUUUAAUCUAGAAUUGGACAAACAUUUUUUAUUAACUUUAAGCUGAGUGUGGGAGGAAAAAAUUAACGUAAAAUACAUUGUAUUGUUGCUUGACAUUUAUAUAAUUCUGAAUAUGUAAAUGAAUCCAUGGAUUCAGCAUUAUUUGUUUAUUGAAAUUCAUUAAAACUGUAUAAUGGAAUAGGUCUGUAUCAUUCCAAAAGUUCCAAAAGAGAGAUUAGUUUUUUUAAGUAAUUAUGUUUUAAGUAUAUAAUAACAUAUUUAAGAAGCCUACGCUUGGAGUUCCCUGGUGGCCUAGUGGUUUAGGAUCUGGCAUUGUCACUGCUGUGGUGAGGGUUUGCUUCCUGGACUGAUCACUUCCAUAUGUGGCAAGUGUGGCCAAAAAUAAAAAAUAAUAAAGUGUUUAUGCUAAAGUUUUCAUAAGUUUACUGCUGAUUUUUUCCUAGGUAUUUUGUUUUUAAAUAGAGAUUUUUUAGAUAUAGCUCUUUUUACAUAACUCAAACUCAUAUCAUUUGUUACAUUUCUAAUCUAAAAGUCUAAUUUUUCUCCUUUUCUUAGCUGUGUCCUAUUACCUAUUUUCUCUUAAUCAACACUUGUUUAUUUAUAUGCUAGCUUGAGAAUUAAUUAUACUAAUAUUUUAAUCAGUUAAAUUACUAGGUGAAAAGGUUGAAGAACAAAUAUGUCUGAAAUAAAACUAAACAUGAUCAUUUGAGUUUCAUAAUUACAUUCGGUAAUGUUGUUUGCUUGAUGUUUUAAUUAUUUUCUAACAAAAGAUUAUAUAGAGUUAAGAGUAUAGAAUCAGUUUAUACAUAACAUCAUUAAUUUCCUGAUAUAUCUUAAAAUGCAUAUGGCGAUGUAAUAAAAUUAGAAGAAAGUUGUCUAUACCUAGGAUCAAAUAUGUAAGAUUAAAUACACAGUAGUCACUGAAAGAAGGGAUACCAUACCUGCUGCUUUAUUAUAAAAAUCAGAGAAAAGCCACAGGGAAAUAAAAGAUAACAGAUUUAGAAAACCUUGGGAUGAUUCUAAAAUCUUACUAUGAAAUGCUUUUGUCUUUAUGUCUCUUAGAAAGAAACAAAAAAUGUAGUCUUAACUACACCUUAUUUCAUAAAGAUUGUAUUACUAGAAGUCUCCCUCGAUGAUUAUACUUUCUGAAUUAAAUUUCAAUAAAUGUUGCUUCUAUCAAAUAUGGACUGUAUUAACAUCACCUUAAAAUUCUAUAUUAAAAUAACACAGCCUACAUUCCCAUACUAUUUGAAAUCACUCUACAGAGCUAUGAAAAUUCUUCUUGUGAGAAAAGGGAUAAUAUGAAUAUAGCAAGAUUAUGUUGCUAUGACAACUACGACUUCUCUAUUUCUAGUCUUUCUUGCACUUAAACUUUCAGGCUUCAGGUUGUAUUGCCAUUUCCCCACUAAUCUGUCUGAUACAUAUGUGAAAAUGCUGACUAAAGUAUAACAAGGAAAAAUAUUCAUAGCGUUUUUUUAAAUAUUAUCCCUCAAUGAAAAGAAAAUUUAAAGUUAAAACACGCUGAUUCCAGCAGACUAAAUACUUCUUUUCCAAUAAUAUAAGGAAUCUUAUUAGGAGUAUACUCCUCUUUUGUGCAAAAAUUGAGUCUUAGAAAAAAGCAAAAGCAACAGCAAAAUUAAAUACAAUAAUCUCUUCUAUAAAUUCAUUUUAUCAAAUAAUACAGGAAGGGUUUUGUUGGAUUCAACCAGUGGAUUGUCUUAUCUCACUUAUAAUAUUAAUAUACAUGCAAAUCCAUAUCUCUAUAUAUUAUAAAAUUGACUUAAAGAUCUUAUUUGUGGAAUAAAUUAUGUUGCUAUUUCUUUAUAUUAGACGUUAUAUCUAAUAUCUAUAAGCACUCUUUGAAAUAAAACUAUUCUAAUUUUUUAGAAAAGGAAUUCCCUAGGCUCAACAAGUUUAAAUAAUUUAUAUACUUUAAGGUGAAAUGAUUAAAUAAUUGUUAGAUAAUAAUCAGAAUUUUGAAUCUGUAUAUAUUUUUAAAUACCACAAAAUAAUAUUUGAGCCAGAAACAUUUUCUAGUCCAUCUGUUAUUAAUCUUUUAGAGAUUAUCUAACUCUUGAUAUAGACAUUUGCCUAGAUAGAUUUUCAGUGUUUAAAAGAACAAAAAUAUACAAUGAAGCCCAAGCUCACACAUGAAUAAUAUAUUUAUUUUUCAAGUAAACUAAAUAAUAUUUUCAGUCAUGGAUGUUUAAAUUCACUGAUAUUUAAUCCAUUGACCUUUUUUUUAAAAAAAAUAACAAGUAUAGAUAGCUAAAUUCUAAUUUCUUAAGUUCUAAAAGAUUAGUUCUUUGAUAUAAUUUCUAAAGAGAUAAGUUCUCUCCUCUAAAAAAUGUCUGUGUGUGAGCACAUGUGUGGUGAGAGUACAUGUGUGUGUUUGUGUUUACCUUUAUAGAAGAUUACUUUAGAAAUAUACAUUCUGUUUCUGGGAAAUUUUAGAGCUAAAACUGAAACUGAAAAACUUUAAUCAAAUGUGGAUUCAUGGUCUAUACUUUAAGCAGCAGAUGUUUUCUAUAUCAAUUUAUAUUUUAUAUAUAAUUUUCUUUCCCAUGCUUUUUAAAGAUUACACAUAUAUACAUAUUUCAUGAAAAUCUCAUGUAAGUUUUUUUAAAGCUAAAACAUUCUAAAAAACAAAUCAGAAGAAGCACUGUUGCAGAUGGAAUUUAAAGGUAAUCUUCCAGACAGUCCUCUCUUGUUUAGAGGGAAAGUCAGCCUUUUGUUUUAUUUAAACCUUCAACUUAUUGGAAGAGGCAAAAUUGACCACCAGAUAAGUUGACACAUAAAACUAACCAUCACAGUUACUUAUUUGCACUUCACUUUUCUUGUCUUUUAAUACUAAAAUAACAUUAUUCUUUUAAAUUAGAGUAAAAUUCAUAGAAUGUAAAUUAAUCACUUUAUAUGAAGGAUUCAGCUGCAUUUUGUACAUUCACAAUACUGUAAAACUACCAUCUCUGUUAAGUUCAAACACUUUCAAAAUCCCACAAUAAUAUGUGAACUCAUUAAGCAGUUCACCAGUACCCAUGACAACCACCCAUUUGCUUUCUGUCAAUAUGGAUUUAUCUGGAGUUCCCGUCGUGGCGCAGGGGUUAACGAAUCCGACUAGGAACCAUGAGGUUGCGGGUUCGGUCCCUGUCCUUGCUCAGUGGGUUAACGAUCUGGCGUUGCCCUGAGCUGUGGUGCAGGUUGCAGACGCGGCUCGGAUCCCGCGUUGCUGUGGCUCUGGCGUAGGCCGGUGGCUACAGCUCUGAUUCGACCCCUAGCCUGGGAACCUCCAUAUGCCGCGGGAGCGGCCCAAGAAAUGGCAAAAAGACAAAAAAAAAAAA